GAUGAACGCUGGCGGCGUGCCUAAUACAUGCAAGUCGAGCGAACAGACGAGGAGCUUGCUCCUCUGACGUUAGCGGCGGACGGGUGAGUAACACGUGGAUAACCUACCUAUAAGACUGGGGUAACUUCGGGAAACCGGAGCUAAUACCGGAUAAUAUAUUGAACCGCAUGGUUCAAUAGUGAAAGACGGUUUUGCUGUCACUUAUAGAUGGAUCCGCGCCGCAUUAGCUAGUUGGUAAGGUAACGGCUUACCAAGGCAACGAUGCGUAGCCGACCUGAGAGGGUGAUCGGCCGCACUGGAACUGAGACACGGUCCAGACUCCUACGGGAGGCAGCAGUAGGGAAUCUUCCGCAAUGGGCGAAAGCCUGACGGAGCAACGCCGCGUGAGUGAUGAAGGUCUUCGGAUCGUAAAACUCUGUUAUUAGGGAAGAACAAAUGUGUAAGUAACUAUGCACGUCUUGACGGUACCUAAUCAGAAAGCCACGGCUAACUACGUG
rnacentral:rRNA from 1 species